rnacentral:tRNA from 1 species
AUUUAUAUAGUUUAAAAUAAAACAUUAUAUUUUCAAUAUAAAGAAAAAAUAAAUUUUUAUAAAUA